AUCAGUAAUUUGACAGUAAGCUUCUUCCUGGUCCAUAGCACAUGAGUCUUAAUUUGGAUUAUAGAUUUGUUAUAGUCUACCUGUCCAUAAUCAGUCAAGUUUUCAGGAAAUGAUAGCCCUGUUUAGAAAUACAAGUCAGUACUUCUGCAAUAUACUGCUUUUUUGGCAGAAUUUGAAGUUUUAUCCAGGAUUAUGAGCAACGAUUACUAUUAUUUUUAGAAGUAGUAGUAGAAUAAAACACUUUGUUUUGUUUUGUUUUCUUCUGUUUUGUUUUCCAGUGUUUGUUUUCUUGAUCCGUAUACCUUUGGCAAAAUAUGUUCAGUUUUUUGUUCAUGGAGCAACAGGCUGAUGUCCAAGGAUCUUUGCCUUUAUACUUAGGGCAGUCAGAAGUGGCCACUGAGCAUGACAGUACCAUUCUGCAUCAAUGACUUCUCCAUUAUUCAAGGUGCUCUGCUUGAGAGACACAGGGAUCUCUGUCCAGGAGAAAAUUCAGUGACAAAACUCCCUAUGUGACAUAUGACGAUAUUUCUACAGUGCUUACUCCAUAUGCAAUUUCAGGUCCCCAGAUUCUCUAGCCAUAUCAACAUAUAGGGAAGCAUAAUCUUUUGCCAGUUUUCCAAGUGAAAUUUUAUGGGUACAGAUGCAAGCACACUGGAGAAAAGAGAAGAGGAAAGCAGAGCUCUCUCAGAGGAAGAUAUGCUGAAAAGAUAGAUACCCAGAAGUCUCCAGUAUUCCUCAUGUUAUUUACAAUUCUGGGUGAACUGGGGGGAGAGCUCUCUGCCCUUCUAGGAGGACAGCCAUGAGGACCUGCCAGUAAAAUCUCAGACUCUCUCUCCUCCUUUGUUUUUUGUUCAUUUGAUUUAUUAUUCCUAAUUAUUCUGUAUUAUCUCAUAUUCCUUUUAAUAAAUUUGUUCUCUUAUCUCA
rnacentral:lncRNA from 1 species